AAGUUUCCAUCAUCUGUUUUCAUGGUGAACAAUGAAUGAUCUGAGGCUGACUGUUGAAAUCCAUAUCUCAGAAUAGCUAUAGAAAAUUUUUGCAUUCUACUGCCUUGAUGCCUGCUUCAAACCAUACAGAGAUUUAUGCAAUUUGCAAACCAGUCUUGAAUUUGCAGCGUGCUCCCCAUUGACAGAAUACCCUUAAGGUAAAUCCAUAUAUACCUCUUCUUCUAAAUCUCCAUUUAGAAAAGCAUUAUUUUUAUCCAGUUGAGACAGAUGCCAAUUACAUGUUGCUGCCAGUGCAAAGAAAAUUCUCACUGUUGUCUAUUUUGCUACAAGACUAAAUGUUUCCUAGUAAUCAAAUCCUGCUACCUAAUCAUAGCCUUUUGCAACUAGGCGUGCUUUGAAUCUUUCCACUUCACCAUUUGCAUUCAGUUUCACCUUAUAAACCCAUCUGCAGCUAAUGAUGUGACAAUUUGAAGGUAGAGGUACAAUAAUCCAUGUUUCAUUAUCCUUUAAAGCUUGCAAUUCAAGAGCCAUGGCUUCUCUCAAGUGAGAAUAAUUCACAGCCUGAUGAUAAGAAACAGGUUCCUGUAUAUGUGAUAGUGAGGUGGUAAAAGACUUGUGUGAGGGAGCAAGUUUUUGAGGUGAUAGGAAUUUGGCAAUUGGAUGGGAGGUAACAUGCUUGGUUGUUGGUGGCAAUUCUGUAUAGUAUGCUUCCAGAUACUUUGGUGCAUGUUUAACUUUUGUACUUUUUCAUGCAGGCACAAAGGUGUUUUCACUAGUAGUUUGUUCAGGUUGAUUUGUGCUGUCUACAGUGGGCAGACUACUUGAAGGUGAUGAAUCAGGUGAGACAUCAUUGGUAUUUGAAUUGGUAUGGUUUAAUUGAGGUGAUAUAGGUUCAGAUAGGUCAAAUUCAACUUGUUCGUGGUUUGGAAAUGGAAUUAUUGUAGGGUUAUGGUCAAAAUGAUAAAAAUAUGUGUCAUGCACAACAUGUGUUUGAUGAAAUGUAAAUGGCUGCUGAUCAUGCUCUUUAAUUCGAAAUGGAAAUGUUUGUUCAUGAAAAAUCACAUCUCUUGAUAUUAGGACUUUGUUAGCACUGAGAUCAUAAACCUUAUAGCCCUUUAUGUUAUUCGGAUAACCUAGGAAUAUGCAUUUAGUGGCCCUUUUAUCCAGUUUUUUCCUAUUUUGUGUCAAUGUAGACACAAAGCACAAACAUCCAAAUACUCUCAAAUGGUCAUAUGAAGGUAAUUUAUGAUGGAGGAGCUCAUAUGGUGUUUUAUUGUGAAGAAUUUUACUUGGCAACCUAUUGAUGAUGUGAAUUGCUGUUAAAACUACAUCUCCCAAAAAAUGUAUAGGCACAUUUGACUGAUGUAGUAAGCCUCUAGCAACUACUAAAAUGUGUUGAUGCUUCCUCUCAACAAUUCAAUUUUGUUGAUGAGCUUCAACACAUGACAGGUGGUGAUUUAUACCAGUACUUGCAAAGAAAUCAAUUAAUCCUAGUUCUCUUGCAUUAUCAGUUCUUAUACUUUUAAUGGCAGAGUUGAAUUGUUUUUGGGCAAAAGCAUUGAAAGUAGGAAUGAUUAUAGAAACUUCUGACUUAGCUUUCAUUAGGAAAAUCCAAGUAAACCUUGUAUGAUCAUUAAUCACAGUUAAAAAAUAACGUUGACCAAACAUAGUUAUACUUUCAUAAGGUCCCCAAAUAUCAACAUGCAUCAGUUCAAAAGGGAUUUUUGUGUUUUUAACAUGUACUGGAAAAGGUAACUUUCUUUACUUUGCCAAAGGGCAGAUUUCACAAAGUAAUUGAUUUGAACAUUUAACAUCUGCACAUUGUUGAUGUAUAACAUUCAAUCUUUCAAAAGGGGCAUGACCAAGUCUGAAAUGCCAUAAAUCAAAAACUUUAUGUCCUGUAUUACAAGCAUUAACUGACAAGUUGAAAGAUCUCUUUACAAGUUUAUCAAAGGAAUAAUUUGACAAUUCUUGCUCAUCUUUCUUAGGUUCCAUGAC
rnacentral:lncRNA from 1 species